ACAGAUGACAGUGAUGAAACAACAACAGGGACCAUUGAUCCUUCGGCAACUCCAUUUUCACCAACAGAUUUCACUGAAGAAGAAGCAACAGGGACCAUUGAUACUUCAGAAACUCCAUUGUCACCAACAGAAUUCACUGAAGAAGAAAUAACAGGGACCAUUGAUCCUUCAGCAACUCCAUUGUCACCAACAGAUUUCACUGAAGAAGAAACAACAACAGGGGCCAUUGAUCCUUCAGCAA